rnacentral:misc_RNA from 1 species
CGCACAUUGCGCCCUUUGGCAUUCCGAAGGGCAUGCCCGUUCGAGCGUCAUUAAAUCCAAUCAAGUUUAACUUGGUAUUGGGCGCGAGGGUCCCCCUCCGCCCCAAUGUCCCCGGCUGGCCGUCGCCUGUCUUAACGUCGUGACGCAUCUCGUUAAGGCAGGGGCGGUGCAUGCCGUCAGAAUUCAACAAAGCCCUCGCGGACUUUGAUUAAGGUUGACCUCGGAUCGGGUAGGAAUACCCGCUGAACUUAA